CCCAUUAGCAUUGUGGAGAGGUUCUACAUGCCCUCUACGAGUGUGACCCCAAGAAGCCAUCCUUGAACUCCAUGUAAGUUUAAUGAGGCAUACCUGGGAAGACAGGAUCUCCCAACUGAAAAGCACCUGUUGAGUUCACUGAAGUCACAAGGAUGAAGAAUAAAGAAAGUGACCUGAUUACUCACCUCCAAUCCGCUCUAAACCAGCUUGAGGGGCUCCCACACACUCCCUUCUGUCUGCACGCCAUGACCAAAUGUAUCAUCAAAUCCGCCAGGUGCUCUGCAGGCUGCCAUGAAACCAGAGCUCCCUGAAAUUGGCUCCAGCACAGAUUCCUGGGUCUCACCCAAAAGCUGUGGAAUCAGGCUUCAGGGGAGCGUCCAGAGUGGAUGGAUGUAUUGUUUAACAAGCACC